CUACGUUAAGCAUCCAUAUUUUUGAAGAAAGUGAUGAUGGUUUGAUUCGCAGAGGAAUCGUUUAAUUUUCUUUUUUUCUCGUAUUCCCCGAAAGAAACUAACAAAUCCAAUUAGGAACGAACAGCACACAGGGUGUUGUCGAAGAGGAACACGUAGUCUAGAUUAUGAGAACAAAUUUGAAAUUCUAGACAAUGCUCUUGAGCAAUGUGUCCGUUGUAAGAUUUAUUUCCUAUAUUGGCAUAAUAGUAUUGUUAGAAAAUCAUGAAUUGUUUUCUUCCUUUUAGGUUUUUGACUUCGUUUAAUGUUGUGGCUGAAUGGACAAUGAGAGAUUGAAUCAACAACAUAUCAAGUGGGCAGCUCAUGGUCAAACUCGUUUGGCAUAAAGGGUUUGUUAGAUAAGGGUGGAGGCAGCUUUAACAAUUUAGAUCUAGCACCUAUUAGACUGGUGGUGUUGGCCCCGUGAAUCUUAUCGUCUUCAAGCUGGGUGAAAAAACAAUGAUUCAGUUGGUUUCGUGCAACAUCCUCACAAAAAUGGGACAAGACUUAACAAAAAGAGCAUAUAGAUGCAGUGUCAAACUGUACCAGUGAGUACCAGAGUAAUGUGACAAACAUUCAUGAUGGUGAUUAAUCUUCACACAGCUAACAUU